AUUAACAUAAAGAGUCGAACCUGCCCAAUGAUAUUUUUAAAUGGCCGCGGUACUCUGACCGUGCAAAGGUAGCAUAAUCAUUUGCCUUAUAAUUGAAGGCUAGCAUGAACGGUUUGACAAGAGUAGCACUGUCUCUACUAAAUUUUAUAGAAUUUGGUUUUUAGGUGAAGAAACCUAAAUAAAAUUGAAAGACAAGAAGACCCUAUCGAGCUUUAAAAAAUUUUUCUUAAAGAUUUUAGUUGGGGCGACUAAGGAACAACAAAAGCUUCUUUUUUAUGUAUAAACUUAUAUGUUUUGAUCCAAAAAAAUGAUUAAUAGAAUUAGUUACCGUAGGGAUAACAGCAUAAUCUUUUUUGAGAGUUCUUAUCGAAAAAAAGGUUUGUGACCUCGAUGUUGGACUAGGAUAUCCUAAAGGUGUAGAAGCCUUUAAAGGUUGGUCUGUUCGACCAUUAACA
rnacentral:rRNA from 1 species